AUGAACAGCCUCAAAACCGAAGACACAGGAGUCUAUUACUGCUUGCGAGAGGCACAGCACCUCAUUGGUUUCCCUCUUCAGACAAAAUCCACCAACAUAAACCUUGAGCUGUUUCCUGAAUCCUCUCCUGUCACUUACAUCCAUUCAGUAGAGCAAGCAAAAAUGUGGUUAAACCUUGUGUCCUUACUAGCAGUUCUGGAAGGAGUCCAGUCUCAAGUCCAGUUGGUGGAGUCUGGAGGGGAUGUGAGGAGACCUGGAGAAUCCCUCUGUCUCUCCUGUCAAGCCUCUGGAUUCACCUUCAGCAGCUAUAGCAUGAACUGGGUGAGACAGGCUGAAGGGAAAGGACUAGAGUGGGUGGUGUGGCUACGUCGUGAUGGAGGACAAACCUACUACUCUGACAAAGUCAAGGGCCGCUUCACCAUCUCCAGGGACAAUGCCAAAAGCCAGCUGUAUCUGCAAAUGAGCAGCCUCAAAGCUGAAGACACAGCUGUCUAUUACUGUGGGAGAGACACAGUGAUAGGAAGUGAAUCAGAAACCAAACCUUCCUUUCUUCAGAGCUGCUCUUCAACUUGA